UACGUAGGGCGCAAGCGUUAUCCGGAAUUAUUGGGCGUAAAGAGCUCGUAGGCGGCUUGUCGCGUCGUUCGUGAAAACCUGCAGCUCAACUGCAGGCUUGCGGUCGAUACGGGCAGGCUAGAGUUCGGUAGGGGAGACUGGAAUUCCUGGUGUAGCGGUGAAAUGCGCAGAUAUCAGGAGGAACACCAAUAGCGAAGGCAGCCUCGCUGGGACGUUACUGACACUGAGGCGCGAAAGCGUGGGGAGCGAACAGG
rnacentral:rRNA from 1 species